rnacentral:lncRNA from 1 species
CUUCGCCGGCAGCGACGGUUUGCCUCCACCGGAGGCCGCAGCCUUCGCCGGUCCCCGCUGCCUCUUCGGCCGAGCUUCAUGAACCCUCACAGUCGCCUGGCGUUUUUGCGCCGCCCCUUGGCGAUCCUUGUCCAUCACUGCCCAAACAACAUGACCGAUAUUUCGCCCGUAAGGAAAAACUCUCCACUGAUGAACCAUACGAGAUGUAAAACAGUCCUCCUCAGCCGCGCAGGGGAUAGGAACAUUUCUAGGCCAGCAACCCCCGGUAACCCUCAGCAUCCGAGCCGAAGACUCCCGGAGCUCGGGCGAAGACAUCCUUUCCCCCGGGGCCGCACACGUCCUCAUUAACUCUCUAGCAAAACUAUCAGACACCCCAAGUCCUCCCAUCGCAGUACCUAAUUUUCUCUUUUUCGAGGAGGCGGCGGCCACCAGCGCAGGGUCGCCUCCAGUCUCCACCGCCGGUUUCUUCCCACGGCGGUCCGCUUCGUCUUGACCAGGGUAGCCGCCGUACGACAAUUGAUUUAAUUCGAAGACCCUGUUCAAACGUUCAUUUGACCCGCGGAUAUCAAAGCUGUGCUGGCCUUCCAUCCUUGGCACGUAACGCCCCACGAGCCGCACCGCCAAGUCCUCCGCAUCACGCACAAAGGCGGCCGGGUCACGGUUUCGCAAAUUCAGUGCGAAGGCAGGACUUCACACCUCCCUUCCUCCGUGAAAAGGCAUCUGGCGAGGGCAUACUUCGCCCAGCGCCCAGCCGUGCGCCAAGGGCCAGACCCCGUACGCCACGAACUCUUCAACUAAAUCACGACCGCUGCUCUGACCGGCGGCGCACCGAAAGGCCCCUUCGUCUGCAUCCUCUUCUGCCACUUCAAAAGGCGGAUACGCAGAGUAAUAGUGAGAGCACAUUUCAGACACGGGGAGUCCUUCAUGGCCUUCGACAGUAGCCUCAGCAACGUAAAACCAAAAUUCAUUCCAAUUGCCCCACUUGUUGCGGGCGCACGGAACCAACUCCACUACUGGCAUUGUGGUCUUGCCGGUCUUCGGCGUGAAUGUGCAUGACCCGAACUGGGCAACUCCGUCCUCAACCAUCCUUUUCGGCCAAUGCAAACAAUAAUUCUUCGCAAAAACUUCAACUGACGGCUGUCCGCCGUACGAAGUCGUCGCCCAGACAUACUUCGCCAGCGCCACUAUGGCGUUCGGUGUCAGCUGAUGUAUUUGAACGCUGAAUCUACGCAGGACUUCGCCAACAAACCGGUGCGCAGGCAAGCGGAGUCCGGCGACGAAGAACGCCUCGAAAACAACCAACUCGCCCUCCGGCUCGGGGACUUCCUCCGUCCCCGGAGCACGAGCGACUCCGCCGCCAAAGUAGCCCAACCGCUGCAUAUCUUCAAUGCGGGCUGACGUCAUCCGUGACACACCAAAAUCAACAGAGUCGCCGGCGCGCAACUCCUCCACCAUCACGCUACUCAACGUCUCCUCAGACGAGGCGGCGGUCGGCGGCAUGGCGUCGGCGGAAGAAGAAGAGGAUGGCAUUGCUACGUACCGUCGGCGGCGGCGGGCGGUCUGCUUCACUCGAGCCAGAGCGACGGCGAGCAAAAGGAGCAGCGGAGGAAGAAGAGCAGCAAGACGGCGGGCGGCUAGGGUUUAACGGAGCGCGGAAGGCAAAGUUCAAACAGCGCCGACCCCCGCCCCCUUUUAUAGGCAGGGCGCGGCUCUUCGGGAAACCCGCAAUUCGACAGGCCGCGACGCUUCGGGAAACCCGCAAUCCAACAGUACGCCGUCCAUCAACGGUCACAUCAAAAACCCCCGCGGAACCACUUCGAGCGAGGGCAGCGUCUCCGCCAUCUAGCGACGUCUUCGGCACCAGGUGACUUUGUCGAACUGGUCCCUCGGAGGGCAAAUGUUGGGGCGAAGGCAAAGACGCCACCCUUCGCUCGAGGUCUUCGCUGCAGCCGCCGGUCUGACAGAGACAAGACGGGCAGGGACACCCUUCGCUGGAUUCGGCACAUUGACGAAGGCCUGCGGCGACGUCUUCCCGCGGCGCGGCCUCGUUCAGUCCCAAGGCCCACGUGCCAUCUGGCCCAUUGUAACGGGCCCCGCGUGGCCGCCUCUGUAUUACGGGCCUAACUUGUAAAGGCAUACAUGUAAUUACAGCUUGUAACCCUGCUUUAUGGGAAUAUUCUGGGGAUAAACUAGGUGUCUGAGGGCACAUGCGUCCUUAACACAAGGCGUUGGGCACUCAGAUACCUAUAAAUACCCCCGCACAGUGCCCGUGAAAGGCUAGAUUAACAGAGCUAUUGCCCCCGAGCACGUAACCCUGUUGUCACCACUGUUCACCCUUGUUGGCCUUCUUGCUGCUGAGAGCAAGUUCCAACAAACACCACCGCUCAAGCACACUAUAAAUUGAGCACCCCGAUGGGCCCGUAGGGUAGUCAAGCACCAAGCCACCAAGCCGUGCCCUCACCGUGGUCAGCAUAUUCUAGGUCUGUUCAUGCUCCCUGCUCUCUUGUUUCAGCAUCCUUAGGUUCUCCUGAUGCUCCCCGACCCUGCCAAUUGGACUAGGACCCCUUAGAUCGCCGGGAAUGCGUUCGAUUGCCCGUGGUGCCCGCCGUCACCGUGGACAGAGCGUGUUAGAGCUCCGUUAAUAAAAUUAAUUGAGGGGAAACACUUGUUAGGGCUUGAAUUAGGUCUAAGCCGAAGUAGAGCACCGGUCGUUGCGUGAAUCGGCCGGUGUAGGCUCGCCGGAGCUCGGUUCUCCGUCGCUGCCCGUCGUGGACUUUCCCUUGUGAAGAUUAGAACUUCAAGGGUCUUAGUGCAAACGUCAGUGAAACAAACAAAUAGUCCUCUGGGUUAUUGUUGCUUAUUCAAAAUGCUGGGGUCGUCUGUGUAAAACCGCCACUACGGGCGCGCGCGCGGGUGCGUCCCCAUAUUCAGUUUUGAGUUGGGCCGAUUGGGUCAGUUUUGGCCCAACAUUGUAGAACCUUUUUCUUUUUCCUUUUCUGCCAGAGCUAGAGAAUUUCCAGAAAAUUAUAAAAAAAUGCUAAAAAUACCAGACCAAUUUUACUAGGCUCCUAAUUUUCUAUAGUAUUUAAUAAAAAUAGUUUCAUGAUUUUUAGUUCCAAUAGGGAAUUAUGGGAUAUUUAAAAUAGCCAAAACACAUACUUCUGGAAUUUUAGAGAAUAAUUAAUAAUCCCAAAAUUCACCAAACUUUUUAGAUAAACUUUAAAUAUUAUUUAGAAGCUUUGGGUAAAAUUUGGUAUGAUUUGAACCAUGUUUGGUACUUAGAACCCAAAACCCUAACCCCUACCCUAUGAACUUCACUAUAGACUCCAAAAACCCUAGUUUCCCGGAGAUCCAUGAAGGUAAGUUAUCGUAAUUGCUUCCGCAUUUUCGUACCUCCGAUGUAUUGUAAUGUCUGCGUGACGGGUGAAACGCUCUUGGGCAAGGUAAAGAAAUUCAGAUACCGAACUCGUCAAGUGAUCAGGUGCACCUGCAGGGUUGUCUGAGGUCCUUUGGACAAGGACAACUAUAGGUGGGCCUAAUGACUUGGGAGGUCGACCACUUCAUUUUGAAUUUACACUCCUUCUGCUGGGAGCUCUAUAUGAAAUGAUAUGAAUGAAUGCAUAUUCUUGUGCAACUACAAAGAAGAUACUUUAAAGCAGUACAAACUACACCUCACUAUGCACACAAAACUAACCAAACAACAGGGGAGCUAAACAUUCUAAUAUCAUCACUAAGCUCUCAAACCACACUAGUGAACUCUGCCUCCAUAACCAAGAACUCUAUGCUUGCCUUAAGUAAGGACUUACUUUUCUAACUUGAAUCCUACAACUUGAACUUGAUUAAGACAAUCUUCAAACUAUGCCAAAAAUCCAGAUCCCACUAGGCACUCUUACUUCUUUAUCCAAAGAUCAGGUUUCACUUGUUAAACUUGUUCCUUCUUCCAAAGUUCUAAUCCACCUGUGAUUAUGUUCUUCUUAUUAUUCUAAUUAGGGAUUUUACAAGGAUUUUUGAGCAAAUGGCUUACAAACAGCCCCAAACUUUUACCAAGAGUUUAUCUUCUGAUAACAAGACUCUCCACAAGUUUUCAUAAUUUUUGGUGCUCACAUAUGCUCCCUAAAUAUUCAAUUAAUCCUUUUUAGAGCACACUAAAAUUACUUAAAACUUGUAAACUGCACUAAAGAUCCCAAAAAACACAUUUAGUAGAGAGCUUACCAAUUUAGACACCCCAUAAAAUUUGUCCCAUAGAGAUCCUAAAACCGAGCUUUCGAUGGCAGUGGCAAACCUCAGCCCGGCAAGCCCGAUCCCGCGAACCUGUGCGGUAGAGCUCCGACUAAGGACUCAGAGAGCUUCAGCGAUCACAUAAUCCUACAGUGCGCGUGUGAAUUUGACAGAGAAUGGCGUGGGUGAACAGGUCAAUGCGAAGGCUGUCCUCGGCACCACUACACAGUGGCGCAACCUUGUUCCGGCCAACAAACAACGACAGCAUUAAAUAAAAGGACUCUAGUGAGCAUCACUGACCUCUGGAGAUUAUGGAACCAGCACAACGCAGCCGAAAAACCCGUCGAGGAUCCCUGGCCAUGGUGAGGUGAAGAACGGGUGGGCGUGGUCACCUCAGGCAGGAAGAUGGCGUACAAGUUUCUGUGAGAGACCAAGUUUGGUGACUGGGGAGAGGUGAGUACUAGCGUGAACACAGGAAUUCCAGCAAUUACGCAGUGGUCUCGAGCUAAAACCUGAGGGCAAGGGGAAGCUUUAUUGAACCCAACCGAAGAGCACUAGAUAUGGACAAGUACCACUGAACGUGUAGGUAGGGCAUGGACCUCAACUCAGACCUGAUGUAGGAGAACCAUGGGAAUGCCAUCACUGUAUGACCUAUUUUACGUGGCUUCCAUGCACCCAUACCACACAGGCUCAUAACCACAGCCCAAAUACACUGCAUUUAGUCUAUUUUACAGAGCCAAAAUAUCCAUCCCUUCGUUCAGUAAACAGAUAGGAAAGGGAGUAGAUACGUCCCCCACUUGGGUAUGCACUAUGGUCCAAAACUUGAUAUUUUUGAAGGGGUGAGACUACCAAAAUUCAGCACACAGCCCACCCCCAAAUAUAUCUAGCUAGUUCACUGGAUAUGGACAGAGGUAAAUACAGAUAAAAAAACUCCACGGCAGCAAGGGAUAUCCCAUGUUACUUACCCUCCCACAGCAAAGCUUAUUCCUAUCCAUAACUGCCAUAGAAGCAGCUGGAUUCGUUAGUGGAUGUAGAUCUUUACUGCAGAUAUUUUUGAUCCCUAUUGAACUGCCACUGCUUGACUGAACUCACAACUUCACCCCUUUAUUUUUCCCAGCUCCAAGCAACAACAGGGGAACCGACCUUAAGGAACCUUGUUCACCAACUAACCCACUAUCAAUCUUCCAUACAGAUUUAAGCCUUAUAAUCCUUAGAUCAGACACUAAACAGCUCCAAAGUCAGGAGAAAAAUACUGAACCAAAUCCACAGUGACUGAUUCAGGUUUGCAUUUCCAUGCCUGAUAGACCGAAGAUCCUAAAGGAAGAAAACACCUUCUGCAGAUUCUAUUAGAAACCGCGUCGAAGCUAUCAUCUGUAAAGCUUCGGCACAAUGACAGAUCUCAAGACGAAGGGGUGAAUCGACUUAAAGAUAAAAUGACUUGAAGACCCAUGAUGUUUUGUGUCAUUAUUGUAGUCAAUUGUAAAGGGCAUAAAUGUAAUAUCUCACAGGUUGUGCCCUGUGCCUAUAAAUAGGUGAACAGUACCCCUGUACUAUUUACACAAUCUUGUAACUGCCGGCACUUUACGCUGGAAUUAUUGCUUUCCGCUAAGACGAAGGUAUAAAUGUACUUAAAUGUUAAGUAUUAAUAUUUGUGUUCAUGUAAUAAAAUAUGUGAAUAAUGUUACUUAUUUUUAGUAUAUCUUUCUAUAAUGUUUCAUGUUUUAUGUUUUUUACUUUAUAUUGUUUUACAAAUCUGAUCACGAAGGUGUGACCUUCGCGAUAUUUUGCUCAUGGCCUUUGUCCGAAGCUCAUUAAAUCCUUGUGGAGAUAAUGCUUCAGCGGACGAAGGGCAUUAACAUUUAACAUUUUAUGUUGCCUUGUUCUUAAUUCAUAGCAUUUGAGAACAAGUCCCCAACACCCGGCACCACUACACAGUGGCGCAACCUUGUUCCGGCCAACAAACAACGAUAGCAUUAAAAAAGGACUCUAGUGAGCAUCACUGACCUCUGGAGAUUAUGGAACCAGCACAACGCGGCCAAAAACCCGUCGAGGAUCCCUGACCAUGGUGAGGUGAAGAACGGGUGGGCGUGGUCACCUCAGACAGGAAGAUGGCGUGCAAGUUUCUGUGAGAGACCAAGUUUGGUGACUGGGGAGAGGUGAGUACUAGCGUGAACACAGGAAUUCCAGCAUUUACGCAGUGGUCUCAAGCUAAAACCUGAGGGCAAGGGGAAGCUUUAUUGAACCCAACCGAAGAGCACUGGAUAUGGACAAGUACCACUGAACGUGUAUGCAGGGCAUGGACCUCAACUCAAACCUGAUGUAGGAGAACCAUGGGAAUGCCAGCACUGUAUGACCUAUUUUACGU